GGUAUUAUGAAAAAGAUUUCUUAAACUAAAAAGGCACAAAAUGCGUAAUUGUUAUGAAAUGUUAGGGUUUUCAAACCUAAAACAAGAAGAAAAGAUGAAACAUUUACAUCUUUUUCAUUCUUCUUUUUCGUUUCUUCAACUUUGCCGCCACCAUGGAGAUUAGGGUUUGAGAAAAAAACGUGCUUGGCACUAGGAGCUAUCUAGAACAACAAAAGACACAAAAGACUAGAGGUAAGACACAUAGUAGAGCGACAUAACGAACCAAUCAUUCAAGCAAUGACUGGUCUCACUUCCUAUUUACAUUUAUUUUCUUAUUCAUGUAUAUGCUCUCUUUUUAUUUGCAUUGAAUAAGUUAGUCUCAUGGCUUGUGUUUGACAAAUGUACUUUUCUACAUUCAAUGAAGAUUACUUCUUUGCUCAGAAAA